AUUGCCAGAUUUGGUGAAAAAAAGAAACAGAUUUUCAGCAUCAAAGGACAUUUGCUCGCUCCGGAGAUUGAAUAUUCUGCCUGCACUUGAUUCACUGAAGAAAAUGAAAUGCAAAAUAAGCAGGGAGAGAAGAGCUAUAGUGCCAGGAGCUGCUUCCCGGGGAAACUACUGAACAUCUGAGGAGCUUCUGGAUGGAGGACACCAGGAUCCACACCACAGCCUGUGCCAGAGGGCAUGGCUGGGGG